ACAAAGGCUCUUUUCAGAGCCACUUACGUUACCAGAGAAAGCGGCU
rfam:Ovis aries breed Texel chromosome 1, whole genome shotgun sequence.